AAACGUUUUGAUGUUAUCAUUCCAUCAGCUGACCUUGCUACUGUUCUCAAUAGUAAUGUCAGAGUCAUUCAAAACCUUGUUAGCAAAAAAGUCAUCAAUGUGUAUCAACAAGAAGUUCUACAGAGGGUGCCCGGCUUCAACAUCCCGACAAUAAUGAUGGCACCGACUCCGAAAACGACAGCAACUUCCUCGGCUGAUUUUGACAUAACCUUGAUGAUAUGCCUUUUACGCAACCUAAAGCUUGUUCAAGAGCCUACUUUAGGAUGGGAUAGACUCCCUUCCGAGAGGGAUAAAUCUCUUGGGGCGCAUUUGACAAGAAUCAAAGUGUACAGGAACAAGUUAUCUCAUCCAUCAAAAAGUCGAAUUAAUGAAAACUCAUAGAACAAGAUAUGGUCUUCCUUAAAAGAGGCUUUAAGUGAAAUAAGCGAGGGUGAAACUGACGCCAUUGUGAGGGAAAUUGAAACAUUUGACCUUGAAGGAUCCAAUAAAGAAGAGCUUUUAUGCAGAAUUCAACAGGAAGUUCGGGAAAUGAGAAACGAAUUACAAUUUCACCGUAACCUUAAAGAAAAUACGAUAAAUUUAGUAGAGAAAUGGAGGUCUGAUGCAAAGGAUUUUUAUAAAACCAGGGGCACGGAAGAAGUUUUGAGAAAAAUACGAAGCCAAAGUACCAUCAUGAUCGUAGGAAAUUCUGGUUCCGGAAAGUCAGCAACAAUGAAAUAUGUAUCCCUACUGCUUGAGGAAGAAGGGUUUGAAAUUAUUCCAGUUAGCUAUGCUAGCGACAUUCUGUUUCAGAGAUUCAGUUCUCGAAAGCAGC